GACGAACGCUGGCGGCGUGCUUAACACAUGCAAGUCGAACGGAAAGGCCCUGCUUUUGUGGGGUGCUCGAGUGGCGAACGGGUGAGUAACACGUGAGUAACCUGCCCUUGACUUUGGGAUAACUUCAGGAAACUGGGGCUCAUACCGGAUAGGAGCUCCUGCUGCAUGGUGGGGGUUGGAAAGUUUCGGCGGUUGGGGAUGGACUCGCGGCUUAUCAGCUUGUUGGUGGGGUAGUGGCUUACCAAGGCUUUGACGGGUAGCCGGCCUGAGAGGGUGACCGGCGACAUUGGGACUGAGAUACGGCCCAGACUCCUACGGGAGGCAGCAGUGGAGAAUAUUGCACAAUGGGCGGAAGCCUGAUGCAGCAACGCCGCGUGCGGGAUGACGGCCUUCGGGUUGUAAACCGCUUUCGCCUGUGACGAAGCGUGAGUGACGGUAAUGGGUAAAGAAGCACCGGCUAACUACGUG
rnacentral:rRNA from 1 species